AACGAACGCUGGCGGCAUGCCUAACACAUGCAAGUCGAACGAGAUCCUUCGGGGUCUAGUGGCGCACGGGUGCGUAACGCGUGGGAAUCUGCCCUUAGGUUCGGAAUAACAGUUAGAAAUGACUGCUAAUACCGGAUGAUGACGUUAAGUCCAAAGAUUUAUCGCCUGAGGAUGAGCCCGCGUAGGAUUAGCUAGUUGGUGUGGUAAAGGCGCACCAAGGCGACGAUCCUUAGCUGGUCUGAGAGGAUGAUCAGCCACACUGGGACUGAGACACGGCCCAGACUCUACCGGAGGCAGGAGGGGGGGAUAAUGGAACAAUGGGCGCAGGCUGGACCCACCAAGGCCGGGCGAUUGAUGAAGCCUUAGGGUUGUAAAGCUCUUUUACCCGAGAUGAUAAUGACAGUAUCGGGAGAAUAAGCCCCGGCUAACUCCGUG
rnacentral:rRNA from 1 species